AGACAACAAUUAUUCAGCAAAAAUGAUACAACCUGUCGCUCGAGAGAUUACAAACGGAGCUGUUUUUAUGGUUUGUUCCGCUUUUGUUUAACGAUUCCGAGGAUCACACGUAAUAACCCACGCAAUCCACCACCGAAGUCGGAAAACCGACUCAACGGAACGCAGCGCAACUCGACUCAACCGAAACUCGACACUUAUCCCUGGGAACUCAAAAUAGUGUUUUAUUGUUGGAAAUUACGAUUCUUUUAUUUAUUUACUUUUUCUGCAUUUCUUUGCUGCCCCACACACACCCACCGUUUCAAUUUUUAUAUGUUUAUUACGGUUAUUAUCGCUUAAUGGGGCUCGCUCGCUGGUUAUUGCUGUUGUUGUGUUGCUUGCACCAGUAGUUGUGUCAGACUAACGUGUGAAGUUGUUUUAUUAUUUGUUUUGAUUAUCAAAAUGGGCGUUUUACAUUUUUCCGGUCGUUGGGCGGCCCACCUGCCACGGGCCCACCGCUUAUAGCCCACAUCCCAUAACCCCGGGGCAAGGGCAGUAAAUCACAGCCCGCUGUGAGUGGCUGAGUACCUGGGCAGCAGUACACUUGAAAAAUAGUAACCCUUCUCUUUUAAUUAUUUGGCGGCUAGACAUUAUAUUCAAUUAUAAAUACAUCACAGCAAUAAACCAUUUUUCGGGCUUCUAUAAUGAGUGGACAAUACCUGAAGAAACUUUUUAAUUUAUUUAAAAACAUUUUGAAUUUAUUUAGCUUAGUUACUGAAAAUGUUCCACCUAUCAUGUAUACAUUAUUAUCAUGUCAUAAAAAUUCGGUCCAAUUCAAGUCUGUUUUGCUACAAUUAAACAAAUCUUGCAUCAUCUAAGGUUAUAGAAAAUAAAAUUAUCAUUUAUAUUUUCAGUGCAUAUUCCACUCAUUCGCACUCGCUGUAUGACCCAUAAGCAGAAACCAAAGUGUGGCAAAAUGCUUAAUUUAGAAUUUAUGAGCAAUUAAUUUUAAAGCGCUCUCUGGCCAUUAACGCCGUUACUGCUUCUCCCCCUUGACCGUAAUACACCUUUGGUCAUUAAAGAAUUAAGAAGCCAGUCUGCCAAAAAUUGAUUGUUUAGCCAAUCCGCUGAUGGAUCAAUUAUUCAAUUGUUAUAGCCAAAGAGUUGGCAAUCCAAUUUGAGCACGAGUCGUAUUCCAACAAAUAGACAGAAACUGUGUAUUACGGAAAACACUUCAAAUGUAUGAGUGUUUAACUAAUGGCUAGAAAUUAUUUAAUGGAAAAAUAAGAAAAUGCUGUGAUG